AAAGGCCGCAGUAAUUUGACUGUGCAAAGGUAGCAUAAUCAUUAGUUUUUUAAUUGAAAGCUGGUAUGAAUGGUUGAAUGAAAUAUUAACUGUCUCAUAAAAAAAUUAUUAAAAUUUUAUUUYUUAGUUAAAAAGCUAAAAUAAAUUUAAAGGACGAGAAGACCCUAUAGAGUUUUAUAAAAUUAUUUUUAAUUAAAAUUUAUUAAUAAUAUUUUAAUAAAUUAUUAAUAAUUUAUUUUAUUGGGGAGAUAAUAAAAUUUAAAAAACUUUUAUAAAAAUUUAACAAAAAUUAUUGAUUAAUUGAUCUUAAUUAUAGAUUAAAAAAUUAAAUUACCUUAGGGAUAACAGCGUAAUUUUUUUUAGAAGUUCUUAUUUAUAAAAAAGAUUGCGACCUCGAUGU
rnacentral:rRNA from 1 species